rnacentral:rRNA from 1 species
UACGUAGGGACCGAGCGUUGUCCGGAUUCAUUGGGCGUAAAGAGCUCGUAGGCGGCUGCUCAAGUCGAAUGUGAAAACUCGAGGCUCAACCUCGAGCCUGCAUUCGAUACUGGGCGGCUAGAGUCUGGUAGGGGGAUCUGGAAUUCCUGGUGUAGCGGUGGAAUGCGCAGAUAUCAGGAGGAACACCCGUGGCGAAGGCGGCUCUCUGGGACGGUACUGACGCUGAGACGCGAAAGCGUGGGGAGCGAACAGG